UACAGAGGUCUCAAGCGUUGUUCGGAUUCAUUGGGCGUAAAGGGUGCGCAGGCUGUUGUGUAAGUCGGAUGUGAAAUCCCGGGGCUCAACCCCGGAACUGCAUUCGAUACUGCAUGACUAGAGGACUGGAGAGGAGAUUGGAAUUUACGGUGUAGCAGUGAAAUGCGUAGAUAUCGUAAGGAAGACCAGUGGCGAAGGCGAAUCUCUGGACAGUUCCUGACGCUCAUGCACGAAGGCUAGGGGAGCAAACGGG
rnacentral:rRNA from 2 species